AACGAACGCUGGCGGCAGGCCUAACACAUGCAAGUCGAGCGCACCUUCGGGUGAGCGGCGGACGGGUUAGUAACGCGUGGGAACAUACCCCUUUCUACGGAAUAGCCUCGGGAAACUGAGAGUAAUACCGUAUAAGCCCUUCGGGGGAAAGAUUUAUCGGGAAAGGAUUGGCCCGCGUUAGAUUAGAUAGUUGGUGGGGUAAUGGCCUACCAAGUCUACGAUCUAUAGCUGGUUUUAGAGGAUGAUCAGCAACACUGGGACUGAGACACGGCCCAGACUCCUACGGGAGGCAGCAGUGGGGAAUCUUAGACAAUGGGCGCAAGCCUGAUCUAGCCAUGCCGCGUGUGUGAUGAAGGUCUUAGGAUCGUAAAGCACUUUCGCCAGGGAUGAUAAUGACAGUACCGUGGUAAAGAAACCCCGCUAACU
rnacentral:rRNA from 1 species